AAAAAAAAAAGAAUGAAAGGGAAGGAAGGAAAAUGAUCCAAAGAUGUUGUCGUGGGACGACGCCAAGUGAAGAGAAGGAUGCUGGAGGAUGGAGGCAGCAUUCCCGUUCCCUUCCACACUCCUCGGUGGAGCUGGAGAGCCCUGCACAGGGAAUAAUGGACAGGCUGCUCUUUGCCUUCAGGAACUCCGGGCUGGGACUCCACAGGGAAGGGAAGGGGCUCUGCUCCUCCCACCGGUACUUCAAGCAAAAAAAAAACCCAUCCACACCCACCCCAGCCAACCUCUCCUCCUCCCGGCAAACUGGGCUCAGUUCCUCAUUCAGGUGUUCUAUGCAUCUCUAGCAACUUUGAAAACAAUACCAAAGACAGACAAAAAGGAUAAAAAAGACAAAAAAAAAAAAAAGAGACAAAAAAAAAAAAAAAAAAGGCAAGUUCCCGUCCAUGUUUACUUGGUGCAGAUGGUACAGAGCCACCCUGGCCUGGCACAGGGGCCUGGCAGUGCCCAGGAGAGGGGACUGUGCCCGAGCUCCAGCCCUGCAGAGGUGGAUUUUCCCCUGGGAUGUUUGGUUUGCUCGGGGGGGGAAGGAGGGGGCCCGGCCUCAGCUGUGCAGCUGGGCUGGGGGGGGGUUUGAAGCCAGAGGUGGAUGUUGUGCACACCCUGGGCACCUGGGCCAGCCCUGGACCAGCCCUGGCAGCAGAGGUGGGUGUUGUGCACACCCCUGGGCACCACAACCAGCCCUGGCAGCAGAGGUGGAUGUUGUGCACACCCCUGGGCACCAGAGCCAGCCCUGGCAGCAGGGGAGGGCGCCCAGGCUGAAACAAUGGGCAGAGUUUUUACUACUGUGAAUGAGCUGGGAACUCCUGGGGGUGACCUCCUGUGACUUGUACAGUUGUGAGCAACAAUCACAUGUGGUACUUUUCUCUCUCUCUCCUCCCCCCCCUCCAUAUCACCUUUUUAUUUUUGGGUUUGUUUUUUGUUUAAACGUUGCACGUGCUGCCGUUUUUCUUACAGAAUAGCUUUGGUGGUACUUUAGCUUCUUUAUAUUGUAAAAAAAAAAAAAAGGGAAAAAAAUUCAUUAUCCAUCACAUCACGAUAAAAAUGCUUUCCAGCAAUCAAUUUAAAUAAAAAAGAAAAACACUUAAUUUACAAAUGGUA